rnacentral:rRNA from 1 species
AUACGUAGGUAGCGAGCGUUAUCCGGAUUUACUGGGCGUAAAGCGUACGUAGGCGGUUCGGCUAGUCUGUCGUGAAAUCUCCCGGCUCAACUGGGAGCGGUCGAUGGAAACUGCCGGACUUGAGGGACGUAGAGGUGAGCGGAAUUCCCGGUGUAGUGGUGAAAUGCGUAGAUAUCGGGAGGAACACCAGUGGCGAAAGCGGCUCACUAGGCGUUACCUGACGCUGAGGUACGAAAGCGUGGGGAGCGAACCGGAUUAGAAACCCCAGUAGUCC